rnacentral:rRNA from 1 species
GUGCCAGCAGCCGCGGUAAGACGAAGGUGGCAAGCGUUGUUCGGAAUCACUGGGCAUAAAGCGCGCGUAGGCGGUCUGCUAAGUCGGAUGUGAAAGCCCCCGGCCCAACCGGGGAAUGGCGUCCGAUACUGGCGGACUCGAGGAUUGGAGAGGUGUGUGGAAUUCCUGGUGGAGCGGUGAAAUGCGUUGAUAUCAGGAGGAACACCGGAGGCGAAGGCGACACACUGGCCAAUUUCUGACGCUGAGGUGCGAAAGCAUGGGGAGCAAACGGGAUUAGAUACCCCGGUAGUCCAUGCCGUAAACGAUGAGCACUAGGUGGGGGUUCACCUAACGUAUCCCUGCUGACGCUAAUGCAAUAAGUGCUCCGCCUGGGGAGUAUAGUCGCAAGGCUGAAACUCAAAGGAAUUGACGG